UAGGGAAUCUUCGGCAAUGGGGGGAACCCUGACCGAGCAACGCCGCGUGAGUGAAGAAGGUUUUCGGAUCGUAAAGCUCUGUUGUUAAGGAAGAACGAGUGUGAGAAUGGAAAGUUCAUGCUGUGACGGUACUUAACCAGAAAGGGACGGCUAACUACGUGCCAGCAGCCGCGGUAAUACGUAGGUCCCGAGCGUUGUCCGGAUUUAUUGGGCGUAAAGCGAGCGCAGGCGGUCAAUUAAGUCUGAUGUGAAAACCCCCGGCUCAACCGGGGAGGGUCAUUGGAAACUGGUUGACUUGAGUGCAGAAGAGGAGAGUGGAAUUCCAUGUGUAGCGGUGAAAUGCGUAGAUAUAUGGAGGAACACCAGUGGCGAAGGCGACUCUCUGGUCUGUAACUGACGCUGAGGCUCGAAAGCGUGGGUAGCAAACAGG
rnacentral:rRNA from 1 species